GAUCAUGGCUCAGGAUGAACGCUAGCUAUAGGCUUAACACAUGCAAGUCGAGGGGCAGCAUUUUAGUUUGCUUGCAAACUAAAGAUGGCGACCGGCGCACGGGUGAGUAACACGUAUCCAACCUGCCGAUAACUCGGGGAUAGCCUUUCGAAAGAAAGAUUAAUAUCCGAUAGUAUAUUAAAACCGCAUGGUUUUACUAUUAAAGAAUUUCGGUUAUCGAUGGGGAUGCGUUCCAUUAGUUUGUUGGCGGGGUAACGG
rnacentral:rRNA from 1 species